rnacentral:rRNA from 1 species
GACGAACGCUGGCGGCGUGCUUAACACAUGCAAGUCGAACGGAAAGGCCCUGCUUUUGUGGGGUGCUCGAGUGGCGAACGGGUGAGUAACACGUGAGUAACCUGCCCUUGACUUUGGGAUAACUUCAGGAAACUGGGGCUAAUACCGGAUAGGAGCUCCUGCUGCAUGGUGGGGGUUGGAAAGUUUCGGCGGUUGGGGAUGGACUCGCGGCUUAUCAGCUUGUUGGUGGGGUAGUGGCUUACCAAGGCUUUGACGGGUAGCCGGCCUGAGAGGGUGAACGGCCACAUUGGGACUGAGAUACGGCCCAGACUCCUACGGGAGGCAGCAGUGGGGAAUAUUGCACAAUGGGCGGAACCCUGAUGCAGCAACGCCGCGUGCGGGAUGACGGCCUUCGGGUUGUAAACCGCUUUCGCCUGUGACGAAGCGUGAGUGACGGUAAUGGGUAAAGAAGCACCGGCUAACUACGUG